rnacentral:lncRNA from 1 species
UUGACGACCUCUUCCACAAAGUACUUGAUGGGACUAAACACCUUCUCUUGAUGUUCUUUCCUAUUCAUAUCUCCAAGCUUCUGGACGAUCUUGGAGUUGCUCUCGAACCUCUUCUUGUUGCUUGUUCCAACAUCAAGAAUAGCUUCCAGGUAACUGUUGAUCCACUCGUUUCUUGCCAUCUCUCUGAUUGUUGCACUGAAAAGUCCUUUGACAAAAAAAGUAACAUAAACAUCUAUAAACACAACAGUAGAAAACAAGAUUUUAUGGCACUUUACAUACCGAACCUCCUUCAGCUAAGAGGGUGGAGAGAGAGAGGCCUAGUUUUUGGAUAUCAACUUAGCUUGUCAUUUUAUAAUCUCAUACAAAAGGUCCCUCCUUUUUCUCUUUUCUUUUCUGCUAUUUAAAUUCAGAAUUUUGUUUAGGAAAAGUUAAAGAAAAAGGUCUGGUGUGGUUCUGGUUCUCUAUGUUAUCUCUCAGACAGGGCAUAUUACAACGUCAUGUGUUUACAUAAACUCUGGAAAGACUUAUAUUCUGUCUUAAUCUCAAAGAGAAUCUUCUUUAGUAAGUUUAUUUUUUUUUUUCAAUUAUCAGAUUCUCUAGUGGAAUAAGAAUCACCCAUUUCCUUUUUUCAAGUUUCUCUGUAUUUUGCUGUGGAAAUAGAGAAUAAUUUGUGGUUUAGGGCCUUUUGCUCCAUUGUUCCCAUUAGACUUGUUUUUAUAGCCUCAUGUUUUCUAGACUCUGCCUUGCCAUCUCUCACUGAAGUUUAACGUCUUUGUUGGGGACCAAAACCUCUAGAUACUAAAAUAGGGUCUCGAACGUAAGAAAAAUAUCCGGAAGAAACUCGAUUAAGCCCUGUUAAACCCUGUUUUCGACAGAUUGUAAUGGCUUCUAAAUCCAUUCCUACGGUUUUAUUUCAGUUAGAAGUAUAGUAUGCUUUUUGUUUUCUGUAAUUGGGAUUGAGUAAGAUGGGUUUUAAUAUGAAGAUGUAUGUUAUUGUUUAUUUGCAGGUAGACACGUGAAGAAAAGAAAUUUGAAGUCGUGUAUGAAUAUGUUGUUUGCUCUGUUUGGUAUGUGAAAUAAUGGAACAGAGCAUAUUCCAAGCUUUCACAAAUAGAUACUUCAAUUAGCUACUAGUUGAAGAAGAAAGCACAUACGAAUCUGAGCAGGAAAUGGUAAAUAUUAACCGAAAUGGUAAAUAAUGUUGAUGCUCAUUUGCACCAAUAAUUUAUCCACC